AUCACCUAGUGAUCUUGUUAAAAUGCAGAUUCUGAUUCCGUAGAGCUGGGGUGGACCUGAGAUUCUGCAUUUCUAACAGUCUCCCAGGUGAUGCUGA
rnacentral:pre_miRNA from 1 species